GUUAACCGUCGAGUUUGCCUUUCGGCAAACAUCGCUUAUUAAACAUGUGCGCUUUUCGCGCACUAAUUGAACACCUUCCAAAGUUCAUACUUUGUUCAGUUGUUCAAUUUUAAG
rfam:Treponema pedis str. T A4, complete genome.